GACGAACGCUGGCGGCGCGCUUAACACAUGCAAGUCGAGCGAGAACCCAGGCUUCGGCCUGGGGGAAAGCGGCGAACGGGUGAGUAACACGUGAGUAAUCUGCCCUCGACAUCGGGAUAGCCCGGGGAAACCCGGAUUAAUACCGAAUGGCCCAACAGCUUUUCGGAGCGGUUGGAAAAGGUAGCUUCGGCCUCCGGUCGAGGAGGAGCUCGCGGCGGAUUAGCUUGUUGGUGGGGUAACGGCCCACCAAGGCUUCGAUCCGUAGCUGGUCUGAGAGGACGAUCAGCCACACUGGGACUGAGACACGGCCCAGACUCCUACGGGAGGCAGCAGUGGGGAAUCUUGCGCAAUGGGCGAAAGCCUGACGCAGCGACGCCGCGUGAGGGAAGAAGGCCUUCGGGUUGUAAACCUCUUUCAGGAGGGACGAAGCCACUCGGGUUAAUAGCCCAGAGGGUGACGGUACCUCCAGAAGAAGCCCCGGCUAACUACGUGCCAGCAGCCGCGGUAAUACGUAGGGGGCCAGCGUUGUCCGGAUUUAUUGGGCGUAAAGAGCGUGUAGGCGGCCAGGUAGGUCUGCUGUGAAAACUCGAGGCUCAACCUCGAGACGUCGGCGGAAACCAUCUGGCUAGAGUCCGGAAGAGGAGAGUGGAAUUCCUGGUGUAGCGGUGAAAUGCGCAGAUAUCAGGAAGAACACCCGUGGCGAAGGCGGCUCUCUGGGACGGUACUGACGCUGAGACGCGAAAGCGUGGGGAGCGAACAGGAUUAGAUACCCUGGUAGUCCACGCCGUAAACGAUGGGUGCUAGGUGUGGGCGGUGUCGACUCCGUCCGUGCCGAAGCUAACGCAUUAAGCACCCCGCCUGGGGAGUACGGCCGCAAGGCUA
rnacentral:rRNA from 1 species